GAUCCAUGUAAGCAUCAACUAUCUUUUUCCACUGUACUCAACAUCGUGCAGGUAACUUGGCUUUGGCACCGUAUAGAAUAAAGGCUGACAAUAUACUUAAGACGAACUAGCUUCGUCGAGGAAGCUGACCUUCUGUUGCUUUGACCUGAAGUGGUCAGCAUCCAGCUAAAGUUGCUUCAGGACUUUUAAUGGAGCAGAAUAACGGGAAGAACUGCUCAUGGAAAUAGAGCGGUCUCUGAUCUUAGUGGAAUUUGUUCUAUAUGACUCUCAGGUAUGCCUCUCUUUUACCAAAAAUGUAUAGCACUUGCGCAGAAAAACAGUUGACGGUAGCAACCAUUAAUCUUAAAGAAAUGUUUUCAAUAAUUAGUACAAAGCGAUGAUCAUUCGUCUAUUGUACAGAAUUUAGUCCCUUGGGCCGCAACGUACAAAUAAACAUAUAAAAGCACUCCAUAUGAUGCCUAACAAUGACGAAUGCAAUAAAAACUAAACCUAACACAUUAUUUU